AACGCACAUUGCGCCCGCUAGUAUUCUGGCGGGCAUGCCUGUCCGAGCGUCAUUUCAACCAUCAAGCCCCAGGCUUGUGUUGGGGCCCUGCGGCCGUCCGCAGCCCCCGAAAAGCAGUGGCGGGCUCGCUAUCACACCGAGUGCAGUAGUAUCUCCUCGCUCUGGUCGUGUGGCGGGUGCCGGCCGUGAAACCCCCUACUUUUACAAAGGUUGACCUCGGAUCAGGUAGGAAUACCCGCUGAACUUAA
rnacentral:misc_RNA from 1 species